GAUGAACGCUGGCGGCGUGCCUAAUACAUGCAAGUCGAGCGAACGGACGAGAAGCUUGCUUCUCUGAUGUUAGCGGCGGACGGGUGAGUAACACGUGGAUAACCUACCUAUAAGACUGGGAUAACUUCGGGAAACCGGAGCUAAUACCGGAUAAUAUUUUGAACCGCAUGGUUCAAAAGUGAAAGACGGUCUUGCUGUCACUUAUAGAUGGAUCCGCGCUGCAUUAGCUAGUUGGUAAGGUAACGGCUUACCAAGGCAACGAUGCAUAGCCGACCUGAGAGGGUGAUCGGCCACACUGGAACUGAGACACGGUCCAGACUCCUACGGGAGGCAGCAGUAGGGAAUCUUCCGCAAUGGGCGAAAGCCUGACGGAGCAACGCCGCGUGAGUGAUGAAGGUCUUCGGAUCGUAAAACUCUGUUAUUAGGGAAGAACAUAUGUGUAAGUAACUGUGCACAUCUUGACGGUACCUAAUCAGAAAGCCACGGCUAACUACGUGCCAGCAGCCGCGGUAAUACGUAGGUGGCAAGCGUUAUCCGGAAUUAUUGGGCGUAAAGCGCGCGUAGGCGGUUUUUUAAGUCUGAUGUGAAAGCCCACGGCUCAACCGUGGAGGGUCAUUGGAAACUGGAAAACUUGAGUGCAGAAGAGGAAAGUGGAAUUCCAUGUGUAGCGGUGAAAUGCGCAGAGAUAUGGAGGAACACCAGUGGCGAAGGCGACUUUCUGGUCUGUAACUGACGCUGAUGUGCGAAAGCGUGGGGAUCAAACAGGAUUAGAUACCCUGGUAGUCCACGCCGUAAACGAUGAGUGCUAAGUGUUAGGGGGUUUCCGCCCCUUAGUGCUGCAGCUAACGCAUUAAGCACUCCGCCUGGGGAGUACGACCGCAAAGUUGAAACUCAAAGGAAUUGACGGGGACCCGCACAAGCGGUGGAGCAUGUGGUUUAAUUCGAAGCAACGCGAAGAACCUUACCAAAUCUUGACAUCCUUUGACAACUCUAGAGAUAGAGCCUUCCCCUUCGGGGGGCAAAGUGACAGGUGGUGCAUGGUUGUCGUCAGCUCGUGUCGUGAGAUGUUGGGUUAAGUCCCGCAACGAGCGCAACCCUUAAGCUUAGUUGCCAUCAUUAAGUUGGGCACUCUAAGUUGACUGCCGGUGACAAACCGGAGGAAGGUGGGGAUGACGUCAAAUCAUCAUGCCCCUUAUGAUUUGGGCUACACACGUGCUACAAUGGACAAUACAAAGGGCAGCGAAACCGCGAGGUCAAGCAAAUCCCAUAAAGUUGUUCUCAGUUCGGAUUGUAGUCUGCAACUCGACUACAUGAAGCUGGAAUCGCUAGUAAUCGUAGAUCAGCAUGCUACGGUGAAUACGUUCCCGGGUCU
rnacentral:rRNA from 1 species